GCCUGUGUGGCAUAGUGUUUUGAGUAUUGGACUAGGACUCUGGGAGAUCAGGGUUCAAAUCCCCACUCAGCCA